rnacentral:misc_RNA from 1 species
AAUUGCCAUAGCACAACAUAUAUAUUCUUAGUCGUCCAGUUAAAACACUAACUAAACCAAUCCCUCUUGCAAGAUGGUAUUUUAUGUAAUGAGUAAAGGAGGUGCUGUUUCUGAUGUGCAGUUAAGGAAACUUUUCAGUCGAUUUGAUGUGAAUAAAGACAAUCGUCUCAGCAAGGAGGAGAUAAGUGAAGCCUUGAGUCAACUUGGUGCAUUUCUUCCUGAUUAUAGAGCCGGCCGUGCGCUCACCCAUUGCGAUGCCAAUAAAGAUGGGUUCAUCGACUUAGACGAGUUUGACGAUUUCGUCAGUUACGCAGAGAGUAAGGGAUUUGAAAUUAAACUUUGACAACUACUUGUUAAAUGAAAGUUUAUUAGCAACAACUCGUUCAUGUACGUAGCAAUUAUAAACCUGUUAGUGUUGUUUGCUAGAAAAGGUUUCAGUUUGCAGAACUUCUGAAGGGGAUUUAUCUGCCCUGUUUCCAUAUGAUAAUAUAUAUUAUGUCAGUAUCAGCUGUUAUUAUUAUGGAAGAUAGAGGCAUGAUGAGCAUGUAAAAAAAUUUCUCAGAUCAUCUCUCUUGUUCUGCUGUUACUAUCAUGGAAGAAGCUCAGCAUCUUGUCUUUG